rnacentral:lncRNA from 1 species
UAUAUAUAUGGAAAACACAAAUGCAGACAGCAAGAUAGGUUUAAAUAAAUGUCAAGCGUAAGCACAAACACACACAGAUAAAAGUAUAUUUGGUGAUGAUGAAGCUAAAAUACAGCUAUAUGCAAGUGAUAAAAUGUUUCUUGAUGGAAAGGGUCAUACACUGAUGCAGGAUCACAAUUUCCGAAGCUUUAGUAUUUCUUCACAAUUUCUGGAUUUAAGAAUUUUCUAUUAAAAUGUCAAGUAUUAUAUUUACUUUGGAAUAGAUUAUUUAUUAAAAUCUAAAAGUGGUGUGUGGACUGCAAAAACUUCUUUAUCAGCCAAGGGCCGCCAUGUUUUCUCGCUUUUUGAUUUUGGCGGGUCACAUGUAAAAUGUUUUUCUGUCUAAAAUUCGUAGGAAUACUUUUUAAAAGGUAAAAUUUAUCACGCCAGUGUUAUUAUGCAAUGUUAUGAUAUGUUCCUGAUACAAAUAAACGCCAACAGUACAAGUAAUUCUUCAAAUUGAAGCACAAUAUAAAAAGACGUCCGUCACCAUCCAACACCACACAA